GUGUCAGCAGCCGCGGUAAAACGUAGGAGGCAAGCGUUAUCCGAAUUCACUGGGCGUAAAGCGCGUGCAGGCGGCCUGGUAAGUUGGCUGUGAAAUCUCCUGGCUCAACUGGGAGAGGCCGGUCAAUACUGUCAGGCUCGAGGGCGACAGAGGGAGGUGGAAUUCCGGGUGUAGUGGUGAAAUGCGUAGAUAUCCGGAGGAACACCAGAGGCGAAGGCGACCUCCUGGGUCGUACCUGACGCUCAGAUGCGAAAGCUAGGGGAGCGAACGGGAUUAGAUACCCUGGUAGUCC
rnacentral:rRNA from 1 species